GGGGAUGUAGCUCAGUGGUAGAGUGCUUGCCUAGCAUGCAUGAGGUCUUAGGUUCAAUCCCCACUGCUA
rnacentral:tRNA from 1 species